ACAAAGCAGAGAUUAUGGCCCCGGAAGGAAAUAGAUUAAAUUUUAAUACUAAGGAGUCAACAUCAAAUUUAUUUUUAAAACUGCAUCAAUGCCAAAUAAGCAAGGGAGAAUGGAUGGUGUCAUAAAGACGGCCUAACUAAAAACCUGAACAUCCAACACAGGGCAGACGCCAGUUGCAGCACCAGACAUUGCUAAGUUUGCUAAAAUUGUGCAAAAUAAUUACUUCAUCCAGAGAAAGUGAUCGCCAAGUGAAAAUUGAAAACAGCUGUACACUCACCUGAGGCCAAGACGGCACACUAGCUAAAAGAUUUGUGGCUCCCCCGACUGGACGUGCUCACCAUCCAGCAAGGUUGGCUUCUCUGGGAAGACCUAUCCCCGCUCCUUUGAAUUUCCACUUGCACCUGGCCAGCCUGGGGCCCAGACAAGGAAGAGGGUCGGGUCUGCAGUGUGAGUGGGCUUCUGGCUCAGACAUCAAGAGGCUCAGCUUUCAGCAGCCUUCUCCUGGAUCCAGAGCAGGGGAGGAAUGAAGACCCAAGACUCCCACCUAAAAGGGAAGUAUCAAGGCUGAAGUGACCUUCAAGGACGUGCAGGCCAUGGACAAAUGGAUGGGGCUGGUCUCCCGGGAGAGAAUGGACCCGUCUGGGAGGAUCAAUGGAAGGACACUGUAGCAGAGCAGGGGAACUUGGAGGCCAGGAGGGGCUUUGUAACAGCCUGAGCAGUGGUGUGGGGCUCCUGACUUGGGAAAAUGGUGGACCCAACUCUAACCCUCAUGACUCGCCCACAUGCCUGUCGGCCGCCUUGAGCAUCCCAAGGGUCCUGGGUUUCCACACAGGCCGUGUUCCCUGGCUUGAUGCUUCCAAACUCUCUUCCACUCCCCUGAACCCCUGCACCUGCUUGCUGGGGCCCUCUGGAGCCUCCCACUUCCACCAGGCGGUCCCCACUUACCUUGCCAGUGAAGCUCUCCCUCUCCCCAGGAACCAUCCAGCCCGGAGGCCUGGCCACAGGCUUGGGUUCUCGUCUCACGAAUCUGAUGAACGAAAUUCGCAGGACAACGGAAGGCAAGAGAGAAAGAAGAGCGACUUAUUCAUGUGAGGAAUAGAAGCAGAGCUCUCACAGGGCAAGGGGGACUCACAGAGGUUGCUGCCUGCAGGUGCUAGGCGAGGGGAGUCUGUUCAUCACUGUGGAAGCUCUUGGCCUUGCCUGCCCCGCAGUGCACACCCAGCAGGUUUCGGAGUCUGCUGGGGACCAGAGCCUCACAGCCAUUACAAAAGACUCACCACAAAUACGCCCCCAGCCACCCACCUGCAGCUAUGUUUUUAAAUUUAAUGUGGAAUGACUGUCCUUAAUGUGGGAUGGUGAAACAUCACCGACUCUGCGCAGGAAGCAGUGCUGUGACCAGGACUUAACCCCUGACGCUGAGAAAGCAUCUGCUGAGCUUGGGGAGGGGUCUUGGAGUUACGCUCUGGAUGGAAUACCCUGAGAUUGUCAAGAAGAUGACAAAGUCUGAAAGAGGAACGUGGCCUCAUUUUCUAGUCCAAGCAGGUGGCGGAGGGAUCUGCUUAUAGAUGUGUCUGUGCCUUUCUUGGACACAGCCGGCUUUGUUUCCCAGGCUCUUUGACAGUGUGUGUGUCUGUGUGUGUGUGUCUGUGUGUGUGUGUGUCUGUGUGUUUGUGUGCGCACACACAUGCAGGAGAAGGUGCAGGGGCCCAGGUGAAUGGAAUAUGCCCAGGCCCUGAAGCGAUUCCAGGAGAGCAGGCCACUGCCUGAAGGAGGCUGGGCUGCUUUAGAGCAGCGAAGGGGAACCAGGCGGUCACUUCAGGUGACCUCUGUCCAAGUUGCUUCCUGUUUGGACAGGUUUUGGGGAGCUAGACCCAGGUGAGCUGCUGGAACCGCUGCUGAUUCAUGCUAACAUGACCACCAGUGAGGCUGACUUCCCUGCACACGGAGGCCUGGGUGGGAUCUGGGCAGGGUGUCUGACAGAAGCCUGGAGUGGCUGCUCCUUGUGCAUCUUGCAAGCAGAUUGCUCACUUCCUCACUGAAGUUCUGACUCACAUUGGGACUAAAUGCUGCAAUCACGUUCUGGCCACCCUGGAAAUUCCUCAGUCCUGCUUCUUAAGAGGCAGAGCUGAUAGAGUGUUGUGCUUCUGUUCAAGGCAGAAACAGGUGUCAGUACUGGGAGUGGACUCCCCGGGGCGGGUGUCUGUGGGACUCUCGGUUCUUCCACACCUCUCCUGUCGCGAGAGGAAUCCCCUGGACACAUGGCCUGGGCCCUGGAGUUUACCCAGUGCUUGGUGAAGGCUCCCCAGUGCCAUCGCAGGGGGUACAGGUGGAAGGCCAGCAUGCCUGGACGUUGCAGUGCUCUCCGCCCAGGCUCCAGGCUUUGUCAAGGCAGCAGUAUCUCUGAGCCUCAUUUCCCAUCUCUGUCCAAUCGGGAGAAGCAAGGUCUGUCCUUUGUCUGGUGAGGCUGCUGG